rnacentral:tRNA from 1 species
CAAAAUGUAGCUUAACUAAAGCACUUCGCUUACACCGAACCUAUAUCCGUGCGACCCUGAUCAUUUUGA